rnacentral:rRNA from 1 species
CCUACGGGAGGCAGCAGUGGGGAAUAUUGCACAAUGGGGGAAACCCUGAUGCAGCGACGCCGCGUGAGUGAAGAAGUAUUUCGGUAUGUAAAGCUCUAUCAGCAGGGAAGAAGACCGCCGGUACCUGACUAAGCAGCCCCGGCUAACUACGUGCCAGCAGCCUCGGUCAUACGUAGGGGGCAAGCGUUAUCCGGAUUUACUGGGUGUAAAGGGAGCGUAGACGGCUGUGCAAGUCUGAAGGGAAAGCCCAGGGCUUAACCCUGGGACUGCUUUGGAAACUGUGGAGCUAGAGUGCUGGAGAGGUAAGUGGAAUUCCUAGUGUAGCGGUGAAAUGCGUAGAUAUUAGGAGGAACACCAGUGGCGAAGGCGGCUUACUGGACAGUAACUGACGUUGAGGCUCGAAAGCGUGGGGAGCAAACAGGAUUAGAUACCCCAGUAGUC